AUGGCCGCGACAAACCCGGGCAUGGUUCAUGUGGUCGAGCCUCAUGGGCACCAAACAACGGUUCAUGAAGGAAGGAUAGUCCGAGUAUUUGGCCGUGCAUUUUGGGCGUUUGAGCAAAGCGUGAGGGCUUUCGAACACUGUAGGCCGGUCAUCGCAAUUGAUGGCACGUUCUUGACUGGACAAUAUAAGGGAACCUUGUUGGUUGCGAUAGCAAGUGAUGCCAAUAACCGGGUGUUGCCAUUGGCAUUUGCUUUGGUGGAGGUGGAGAACAAUGACUAUUGGGAGUGGUUUUUGCAUAUUUUGAGGACGAAGGGCAUGUGGCCUUAA
rnacentral:rRNA from 1 species